rnacentral:rRNA from 1 species
GGGCCCGCACAAGCGGUGGAGCAUGUGGUUUAAUUCGAUGAUACGCGAGGAACCUUACCAGGGCUUAAAUGUAGUAUGACCGGUCUAGAAAUAGACCUUCUCUUCGGAGCAGAUUACAAGGUGCUGCAUGGUUGUCGUCAGCUCGUGCCGUGAGGUGUUAGGUUAAGUCCUGCAACGAGCGCAACCCCUAUUCUUAGUUGCCAGCGGUUCGGCCGGGGACUCUAAGAAGACUGCCAGCGCAAGCUGAGAGGAAGUGGGGAUGACGUCAAAUCAUCACGGCCCUUACGUCCUGGGGCUACACACGUGCUACAAUGGUACAGACAGAGGGCAGCCACCUGGCGACAGGGAGCGAAUCCCAAAAAGUGCGUCGU